rnacentral:rRNA from 2 species
CUAUACUGCAAGUCGAGCGGAAGAAGGGAGCUUGCUCCCGGAUGUUAGCGGCGGACGGGUGAGUAACACGUGGGUAACCUGCCUGUAAGACUGGGAUAACUCCGGGAAACCGGAGCUAAUACCGGAUAGUUCCUUGAACCGCAUGGUUCAAGGAUGAAAGACGGUUUCGGCUGUCACUUACAGAUGGACCCGCGGCGCAUUAGCUAGUUGGUGAGGUAACGGCUCACCAAGGCGACGAUGCGUAGCCGACCUGAGAGGGUGAUCGGCCACACUGGGACUGAGACACGGCCCAGACUCCUACGGGAGGCAGCAGUAGGGAAUCUUCCGCAAUGGACGAAAGUCUGACGGAGCAACGCCGCGUGAGUGAUGAAGGUUUUCGGAUCGUAAAGCUCUGUUGUUAGGGAAGAACAAGUGCAAGAGUAACUGCUUGCACCUUGACGGUACCUAACCAGAAAGCCACGGCUAACUACGUGCCAGCAGCCGCGGUAAUACGUAGGUGGCAAGCGUUGUCCGGAAUUAUUGGGCGUAAAGGGCUCGCAGGCGGUUUCUUAAGUCUGAUGUGAAAGCCCCCGGCUCAACCGGGGAGGGUCAUUGGAAACUGGGAAACUUGAGUGCAGAAGAGGAGAGUGGAAUUCCACGUGUAGCGGUGAAAUGCGUAGAGAUGUGGAGGAACACCAGUGGCGAAGGCGACUCUCUGGUCUGUAACUGACGCUGAGGAGCGAAAGCGUGGGGAGCGAACAGGAUUAGAUACCCUGGUAGUCCACGCCGUAAACGAUGAGUGCUAAGUGUUAGGGGGUUUCCGCCCCUUAGUGCUGCAGCUAACGCAUUAAGCACUCCGCCUGGGGAGUACGGUCGCAAGACUGAAACUCAAAGGAAUUGACGGGGGCCCGCACAAGCGGUGGAGCAUGUGGUUUAAUUCGAAGCAACGCGAAGAACCUUACCAGGUCUUGACAUCCUCUGACAACCCUAGAGAUAGGGCUUUCCCUUCGGGGACAGAGUGACAGGUGGUGCAUGGUUGUCGUCAGCUCGUGUCGUGAGAUGUUGGGUUAAGUCCCGCAACGAGCGCAACCCUUGAUCUUAGUUGCCAGCAUUCAGUUGGGCACUCUAAGGUGACUGCCGGUGACAAACCGGAAGAAAGGUGGGGGAUGAGUCAAAUCAUCAUGCCCCUUAUGACCUGGGCUACCACCUUGCUACAAUGGAAACAAAGGUUCGAAACCCAAGGUUUACCAA